rnacentral:rRNA from 1 species
GGGAAUCCCAAGUGCGAGGGCAUAUUAGCCCUCGCUUUUGUUGACCGUAAGGUGGUCAACGAAUAAGAGCUGGGCAAGACCGGUGCCAACCGCCGCGGUAAUACCGGCAGCUCGAGUGAUGUCCCAUAUUAUUGGGCCUAAAGCGUCCGUAGCUGGCCAACCAAGUCCAUCGGGAAAUCCACCCGCCCAACGGGUGGGCGUCCGGUGGAAACUGGCUGGCUUGGAACCGGAAGGCUCAGAGAGUACGUCCGGGGUAGGAGUGAAAUCCUGUAAUCCCGGACGGACUACCGAUGGCGAAAGCACUCUGAGAAGACGGCUUCGACAGUGAGGGACGAAAGCUAGGGUCUCAAACCGGAUUAGAUACCCGGGUAGUCCUAGCUGUAAACGAUGCUCGUUAGGUGUGGCACCCACUACGAGUGGGUGCUGCGCCGUAGGGAAGCCGCUAAACGAGCCGCCUGGGAAGUACGUCCGCAAGGAUGAAACUUAAAGGAAUUGGCGGG